rnacentral:rRNA from 1 species
UGCAAGUCGAGCGAAUGACGAGAAGCUUGCUUCUCUGAUUUAGCGGCGGACGGGUGAGUAACACGUGGGCAACCUGCCCUACAGAUCGGGAUAACUCAGGGAAACCUGGGCUAAUACCGGAUAAUCCUUCGAAUCACAUGUUUUGAAGUUGAAAGGCGCUUCGGCGUCACUGUAGGAUGGGCCCGCGGUGCAUUAGCUAGUUGGUGGGGUAACGGCCUACCAAGGCAACGAUGCAUAGCCGACCUGAGAGGGUGAUCGGCCACAUUGGGACUGAGACACGGCCCAAACUCCUACGGGAGGCAGCAGUAGGGAAUCUUCCACAAUGGACGAAAGUCUGAUGGAGCAACGCCGCGUGAGUGAUGAAGGUUUUCGGAUCGUAAAACUCUGUUGUAAGGGAAGAACAAGUACGUUAGGAAAUGAACGUACCUUGACGGUACCUUAUUAGAAAGCCACGGCUAACUACGUGCCAGCAGCCGCGGUAAUACGUAGGUGGCAAGCGUUGUCCGGAUUUAUUGGGCGUAAAGCGCGCGCAGGUGGUUUCUUAAGUCUGAUGUGAAAGCCCACGGCUCAACCGUGGAGGGUCAUUGGAAACUGGGGAACUUGAGUGCAGAAGAGGAUAGUGGAAUUCCAAGUGUAGCGGUGAAAUGCGUAGAGAUUUGGAGGAACACCAGUGGCGAAGGCGACUGUCUGGUCUGUAACUGACACUGAGGCGCGAAAGCGUGGGGAGCAAACAGGAUUAGAUACCCUGGUAGUCCACGCCGUAAACGAUGAGUGCUAAGUGUUAGGGGGUUUCCGCCCCUUAGUGCUGCAGCUAACGCAUUAAGCACUCCGCCUGGGGAGUACGACCGCAAGGUUGAAACUCAAAGGAAUUGACGGGGGCCCGCACAAGCGGUGGAGCAUGUGGUUUAAUUCGAAGCAACGCGAAGAACCUUACCAGGUCUUGACAUCCCAAUGACCGUCCUAGAGAUAGGAUUUUCCCUUCGGGGACAUUGGUGACAGGUGGUGCAUGGUUGUCGUCAGCUCGUGCC